GAGGAAUAUUGGACAAUGGAUGGAAAUCUGAUCCAGCCAUGCCGCGUGCAGGAAGACGGCCCUAUGGGUUGUAAACUGCUUUUGUAUGGGAGCAAUAAGGUCUAUGCGUAGACUGAUGAGAGUACCAUACGAAUAAGCAUCGGCUAACUCCGUGCCAGCAGCCGCGGUAAUACGGGGGAUGCAAGCGUUAUCCGGAUUUAUUGGGUUUAAAGGGUGCGUAGGCGGUUUGAUAAGUCAGCGGUGAAAUAUUUCAGCUUAACUGAAAGGGUGCCGUUGAUACUGUCAGGCUUGAAUAUGGUUGCUGUGGGUGGAAUGUGUGGUGUAGCGGUGAAAUGCUUAGAUAUCACACGGAAUAUCGAUUGCGAAGGCAGCUCACAAAGCCAUUAUUGACGCUGAUGCACGAAAGUGUGGGGAUCAAAC
rnacentral:rRNA from 1 species